rnacentral:rRNA from 1 species
UACGAAGGGGGCGAGCGUUGUUCGGAAUUACUGGGCGUAAAGGGCGCGUAGGCGGCCGAUCAAGUCAGAUGUGAAAGUCCUGGGCUUAACCUGGGGACUGCAUUUGAUACUGAUUGGCUUGAAUUCGGGAGAGGAUAGCGGAAUUCCCAGUGUAGAGGUGAAAUGCGCAGAUAUCAGGAAGAACACCCGUGGCGAAAGCGGCUCUCUGGAACGGUACUGACGCUGAGACGCGAAAGCGUGGGGAGCGAACAGG